CAUAAGCGCACGCGCGCGACCGACCCAUAAAACAGACGCCGCUCAAGCAGCCCCCCUCCUCCCCCCCCGAUGGCUGGUUGUAAGGGAAGAGAUGGGGCGGGAUUUAUCAUUUUACAAAGUUAUGAUUCUGCCAAAUUUGAGAACCAGAAUUAUGCCACACUUGAUAUCCAAUACCUUGUGUACAGGGAACCUGAGCACAGAUGUAAUGUCCCAGAGCAGAGCCUUAGAAUUAAGUAGAGAUCCUGAAGAUAUCACUUGAUGUUUUAGAAGAGUUCCCUCAAAGUGAAGGCCACUUUUGGGCCCAUUCAGAAACAUUGUGAAAAAUCAAUGAAGUUACAGAAUUUAGACUACUACUGAGAGGAAACUAUAGUAGCAAAGAACCGUUCCAAAAAUGUAUUUCUGGUACCAAAGCAAAUGUACUCUUACACUCUAUUUUUCAAAAGCCCAAAAUAUGUCAAUGAAAUAUUUGCUGCUAUUCUGUUUUUAGAUUUCCCUGCAUGUUCAAGGUUGUCAAGCAUACAAAUCAAGCAUACAAAUGUUUUAUAUCAAGUCUUGUUAAGGGCAAGGGUGAAGUUCCAAAGAACUGUUUGUAAACAGCUCAUUUAGUAUGUAUUUCUGAUUUGUAUCCAAUGUUAAUUAUAUCUAACAUCUGUUCUAUAAAACAGCAUUUAUACUAUGCAUGCACUCCAAAUUUUGCACCAAGCAAUGAUUAAUUUUUAAAACCUUUAUAUAGGUUAAUGACAGUUGAGCACAUUUUAUAGUUAGAUUAAAUGUGAAUUAAACUGCAUUCCUUUCCCAUCAGUGAAAGUCUCUAUUAAUGGAACAGGAAGGGCCAAUUCACCUUCCUUUUUAAAUGUCUAAGUGCUCCAUUGGAUUGCUCACCCUUAAACAAAAUUAAGACUGGCCAGGUCUUCCAGGCAUUAAAUUUCCAUUAAACAAACAGGAGUCCAGUCACACAACAUGGUAUUUCAUCCAGCUUCUCUUAUGUAAAUCAUAACUGCCCAAAUGACUGUAAUAACCUGAGUGCCAUUGCAGUGAAAAACACAUUUAAAAAGAUGACAUUUUCUGAAGACUUUGUUCUAUGCCCAGAAGCUUCCAUAGAAUUGCAACCUGUACACAAUUUUGUCUUUAAUCCUUCUUGCUAUAUUCAGCAACAACAACUUUUUAGGAUGCUGUUGAGAAUACUGUUAUUUCCAAUUGUAGACUGAGGAAUCUCUCUCUCUCUCUCUC